rnacentral:rRNA from 1 species
GGGUUGUGAGGUUAAGCGACUAAGCGUACACGGUGGAUGCCCUGGCAGUCAGAGGCGAUGAAGGACGUGCUAAUCUGCGAUAAGCGUCGGURAGGUGAUAUGAACCGUUAUAACCGGCGAUUUCCGAAUGGGGAAACCCAGUGUGUUUCGRCACACUAUCAUUAACUGAAUCCAUAGGUUAAUGAGGCGAACCGGGGGAACUGAAACAUCUAAGUACCCCGAGGAAAAGAAAUCAACCGAGAUUCCCCCAGUAGCGGCGAGCGAACGGGGAGGAGCCCAGAGCCUGAAUCAGUGUGUGUGUUAGUGGAAGCGUCUGGAAAGGCGCG